GCAUAUCAAUAAGCGGAGGAAAAGAAACUAACAAGGAUUCCCUUAGUAACGGCGAGUGAAGCGGCAACACCUCAAAUUUGAAAUCUGGCACCUUCGGUGUUCGAGUUGUAAUUUGAAGAUGGUAACCUUGGGUUUGGCUCUUGUCUAUGUUCCUUGGAACAGGACGUCAUAGAGGGUGAGAAUCCCGUCUGAUGAGAUGCCCAUUCCUAUGUAAGGUGCUAUCGAAGAGUCGAGUUGUUUGGGAAUGCAGCUCUAAGUGGGUGGUAAAUUCCAUCUAAAGCUAAAUAUUGGCGAGAGACCGAUAGCGAACAAGUACAGUGAUGGAAAGAUGAAAAGAACUUUGAAAAGAGAGUGAAAAAGUACGUGAAAUUGUUGAAAGGGAAGGGCAUUAGAUCAGACUUGGUGUUUUACGAUUAUCUUCUCUUCUUGAGUUGUGCACUCCUAUUUCACUGGGCCAGCAUCGAUUCGGAUGGCAAGAUAAUGGCAGUUGAAUGUGGCUUCACUUCGGUGGAGUGUUAUAGCUUCUGCUGAUAUUGCCUGUCUGGAUCAAGGGCUGCGUCUUUUGACUAGGACGCUGGCGUAAUGAUCUAAUGCCGCCCGUCUUGAAACACGGACC
rnacentral:rRNA from 1 species